UAGGAUUGUGGUCAACUCAUCAGGCUCAUGACCUGAAGAUUGCAGGUUCGAAUCCUGU
rnacentral:tRNA from 1 species